CCAGAAUGGAGUCUCACGGCGGAUGAUGGGUGCUGUGAUGGGAGCAGAGGCCUGCAGGGGUCCCUAGGGCCAGCAAGUUGUGGUCCCUGUAGCUCUGUCAUUUGGGCUCGUCAGAGUCUCUGGAGAGACCCUCACCUGCUGCUGUAGGGAGGUGGUAGAAUGAGGCUGAGGGUUAUUAGAGUCUGGCUGCCAUGUUGGGAGGGUCAGAUUAGAGUCCUGCCACCAUGUUGGGAGGGUCACGUGGAGACCUCCUCUGGGGCCGGGUUUCUCUACCUUCAUUUAAUUUCUUUUGCAGUAUGAUGCUUCCUCCUCAGUCCCUGGAGAGCCUGGAGUCCCUGAUUUCUCUGGAGAGGAACCUUGAAUUGCUUGCUAGGGUCUCCAGUGUCAGCUGCCACCUACCUGCUUGCUUCUCAUCUUCCAAACUGAGUCCAUCUCCCAUGGGCAGCUGUCUUCUCUUUUUUUUUCUGUCCAUGUCUUCACACCCAAGCACCUUGCGCCUGGACCCUUGUGGCUGUGGGACUGGAUGCGUGGAAACCCACACCGCAAUCACCAGCAGGCCAACGACACAGGAUUGUGAUGGGCAACUGAGUCAGCUCAUCUGAUGUUCUCAGCAACUGGACGGGAGGGGCCCUUGUCCCCAACUCGCAGAGGAGGAGCCCCAGGCUGGGAACCACUGAGUGACUUGCCGCGUUCCCUGGGGGAGAAACCCCAGAAGAAGACCCCGAGUGGACCAGCAGGAAACCCCGUGAGGAACACGUGUGUCCACAGACAGAACCCAUGAGAGACACAGAGUGAAGCCGACAGAUAAAAAGACACAGGAUACAGGACUGAGCGCAGGACAAGUCAAGCAGAUGCCACGCUAGGCCGAUAAGAAGUGCAAGCCACGAACCAUUUAAAAAUCCUUUCCAACACUAACAACGUUAAUGAUUAAAUGGUGGAUAAUAUUAA